rnacentral:rRNA from 1 species
UACGGAGGGAGCUAGCGUUGUUCGGAAUUACUGGGCGUAAAGCGCGCGUAGGCGGCUUUGUAAGUUAGAGGUGAAAGCCUGGAGCUCAACUUCAGAAUUGCCUUUAAGACUGCAUCGCUUGAAUCCGGGAGAGGUGAGUGGAAUUCCGAGUGUAGAGGUGAAAUUCGUAGAUAUUUCGCAAGAACACCAGUGGCGAAGGCGGCUCACUGGCCCGAUACUGACGCUGAGGCACGAAAGCGUGGGGAGCAAACAGGG